UUUCUGAAAUGAAAGUAGUGUUCACGCUAGAUCAAAGAAAUCUAGACAACUAAAGAAAUUUUAGUUGAUGACUAGUGCAACAGAGACGAGCUUAUUAAUUUAAGUAUGCAACGAUGUAAACUCCGUGAGCU
rnacentral:RNase_P_RNA from 1 species